rnacentral:rRNA from 1 species
AGGACGAACGCUGGCGGCGUGCUUAACACAUGCAAGUCGAACGCUGAAGCCGCUUCGGUGGUGGAUGAGUGGCGAACGGGUGAGUAACACGUGGGCAACCUGCCCUCAGCUCUGGGAUAACUCCGGGAAACCGGGGCUAAUACUGGAUAUGAUCACUGGCCGCAUGGUCUGGUGGUGGAAAGUUUUUCGGCUGAGGAUGGGCCCGCGGCCUAUCAGCUUGUUGGUGGGGUAAUGGCCUACCAAGGCGACGACGGGUA